rnacentral:rRNA from 1 species
AGCGGACGCUGGCGGCAGGCUUAACACAUGCAAGUCGAGCGGGCAUCCUUGUGGUGUCAGCGGCAGACGGGUGAGUAACGCGUGGGAACGUGCCCUUCGGUUCGGAAUAACUCAGGGAAACUUGAGCUAAUACCGGAUACGUGCGAGAGCAGAAAGGUUUAUCUGCCGAAGGAUCGGCCCGCGUCUGAUUAGCUAGUUGGUGAGGUUAUGGCUCACCAAGGCGACGAUCAGUAGCUGGUCUGAGAGGAUGAUCAGCCACACUGGGACUGAGACUCGGCCCAGACUCCUACGGGAGGCAGCAGUGGGGAAUAUUGGACAAUGGGGGCAACCCUGAUCCAGCCAUGCCGCGUGAGUGAUGACGGCCUUAGGGUUGUAAAGCUCUUUUCUCCGGGACGAUAAUGACGGUACCGGAGGAAUAAGCCCCGGCUAACUUCGUG